UGUUUCGGCUAGGGGGCCAUCCCGGCUUACCAACCCGAUGCAAACUGCGAAUACCGGAGAAUGUUAUCACGGGAGACACACGGCGGGUGCUAACGUCCGUCGUGAAGAGGGAAACAACCCAGACCGCCAGCUAAGGUCCCAAAGUCAUGGUUAAGUGGGAAACGAUGUGGGAAGGCCCAGACAGCCAGGAUGUUGGCUUAGAAGCAGCCAUCAUUUAAAGAAAGCGUAAUAGCUCACUGGUCGAGUCGGCCUGCGCGGAAGAUGUAACGGGGCUAAACCAUGCACCGAAGCUGCGGCAGCGACACUCAGGUGUUGUUGGGUAGGGGAGCGUUCUGUAAGCCUGUGAAGGUGUGUCGUGAGGCAUGCUGGAGGUAUCAGAAGUGCGAAUGCUGACAUAAGUAACGAUAAAGCGGGUGAAAAGCCCGCUCGCCGGAAGACCAAGGGUUCCUGUCCAACGUUAAUCGGGGCAGGGUGAGUCGACCCCUAAGGCGAGGCCGAAAGGCGUAGUCGAUGGGAAACGGGUUAAUAUUCCCGUACUUGGUGUUACUGCGAAGGGGGGACGGAGAAGGCUAUGUUGGCCGGGCGACGGUUGUCCCGGUUUAAGCGUGUAGGUGUGUGUUCCAGGUAAAUCCGGUUCACUUUAACACUGAGGCGUGACGACGAGGCACUACGGUGCUGAAGCAACAAAUGCCCUGCUUCCAGGAAAAGCCUCUAAGCAUCAGGUAACAUCAAAUCGUACCCCAAACCGACACAGGUGGUCAGGUAGAGAAUACCAAGGCGCUUGAGAGAACUCGGGUGAAGGAACUAGGCAAAAUGGUGCCGUAACUUCGGGAGAAGGCACGCUGACACGUAGGUGAAGUGAUUUACUCAUGGAGCUGAAGUCAGUCGAAGAUACCAGCUGGCUGCAACUGUUUAUUAAAAACACAGCACUGUGCAAACACGAAAGUGGACGUAUACGGUGUGACGCCUGCCCGGUGCCGGAAGGUUAAUUGAUGGGGUCAGCGCAAGCGAAGCUCCUGAUCGAAGCCCCGGUAAACGGCGGCCGUAACUAUAACGGUCCUAAGGUAGCGAAAUUCCUUGUCGGGUAAGUUCCGACCUGCACGAAUGGCGUAAUGAUGGCCAGGCUGUCUCCACCCGAGACUCAGUGAAAUUGAACUCGCUGUGAAGAUGCAGUGUACCCGCGGCAAGACGGAAAGACCCCGUGAACCUUUACUAUAGCUUGACACUGAACAUUGAGCCUUGAUGUGUAGGAUAGGUGGGAGGCUUUGAAGCGUGGACGCCAGUCUGCGUGGAGCCGACCUUGAAAUACCACCCUUUAAUGUUUGAUGUUCUAACGUGGACCCGUAAUCCGGGUUGCGGACAGUGUCUGGUGGGUAGUUUGACUGGGGCGGUCUCCUCCUAAAGAGUAACGGAGGAGCACGAAGGUUGGCUAAUCCUGGUCGGACAUCAGGAGGUUAGUGCAAUGGCAUAAGCCAGCUUGACUGCGAGCGUGACGGCGCGAGCAGGUGCGAAAGCAGGUCAUAGUGAUCCGGUGGUUCUGAAUGGAAGGGCCAUCGCUCAACGGAUAAAAGGUACUCCGGGGAUAACAGGCUGAUACCGCCCAAGAGUUCAUAUCGACGGCGGUGUUUGGCACCUCGAUGUCGGCUCAUCACAUCCUGGGGCUGAAGUAGGUCCCAAGGGUAUGGCUGUUCGCCAUUUAAAGUGGUACGCGAGCUGGGUUUAGAACGUCGUGAGACAGUUCGGUCCCUAUCUGCCGUGGGCGCUGGAGAACUGAGGGGGGCUGCUCCUAGUACGAGAGGACCGGAGUGGACGCAUCACUGGUGUUCGGGUUGUCAUGCCAAUGGCACUGCCCGGUAGCUAAAUGCGGAAGAGAUAAGUGCUGAAAGCAUCUAAGCACGAAACUUGCCCCGA
rnacentral:rRNA from 1 species